rnacentral:tRNA from 1 species
UCGUCUAGCGGUUAGGACAGAGCUUUUUUACGGCUAAAACGUGGGUUCGAAUCCCACAA